rnacentral:rRNA from 6 species
CUGAUCUCAAAUCAGGUAGGACUACCCGCUGAACUUAAGCAUAU